CACCAAUAAGGAAGGAGGGGCGAGAGGAUUCCAUGACGGAGUACAGGGAGCUCUGGCCUCUCCCUGGGGUCAGGACACUUUAGUUUUGAGCUGUGAUGCCUCCUUCACCCCCAUGCGGAAGGGAUCGAGAUUAUGCUUUUCCAGGACUGUGCCCUACCUGUCCAAAGGAGACCGAAAAGCACCAGUUGUUACAACUUGUUUAGUGUUGCUAUAAUCAAAAGAGAAACAUCCUGAUUACUUCAGUGUAAUUCCCCAUUGAUCCAAGAACAAUAACCAAAAACCACGGCAGCAACACCUGAACUGGAAACAACCUACAUGUUCAAUGACUACAGAAAGGCUGAAUAAAUUCGGAUAUUUUAACAUGAUGAAAUAUGAUGGCAAUGUAAAGAUGACAUAUGUGAACAAUUCAAAGAGCUACCGAAUACUUGUAGAAAGAGACGCUGCAGAGCCAGAAUUGCCUCCGCACUGAUGACAAAACUAAGAGGAAGAAAAAGGGGAAGAAAAAAAAAAGCUCAAGGUAACAGAGUCUCUGAGGGACUCCGAAGGGCACAUAGAGCAAUUAUUUCCUUUGUUUGUUAUUGGUUGCUCUGUUUUGAUUUUAUUUGGUUAAGAUGCACAUUGUAACCAAGGCAGGGUGACUGGGACUCUGUCUCAGGGCACCAGCAUUUAGAAGGUGCCAAUAAAGUUUACAUUCUUUUGGCAGCAGAGAAGCACCUGCAUCUAAUUAGUGACACCAAGUCAAAAUCAAAAGCUACCAGAUGACUCAUUUCCCCCCCAAUACAGGCCUCACCCCUGGUCAGCUUCUUCAAGCCUCAGUUCCACCCCCUCUGCUCUGAUCCCACCCACAACCUUCCUGGCUGUAGCAUGUUGUUCCAACGUUUCUAUCUCCUCCUGUUACAUCUCCCACUCCUUGUAUCCCAGGGUCUCUUCCUAAUUCCUCAAAUGAAUUUGCUUCCUAAUUUGA